UACAGAGGGUGCAAGCGUUAAUCGGAAUUACUGGGCGUAAAGAGUACGUAGGCGGAAGACUAAGUCAGAUGUGAAAUCCCCGGGCUUAACCUGGGAAUUGCGUCUGAAACUGGUUUUCUUGGAGUAUGGUAGAGGGCAGUGGAAUUUCUGGUGUAGCGGUGAAAUGCGUAGAUAUCAGAAGGAACACCAGUGGCGAAGGCGACUGUCUGGACCAAUACUGACGCUGAGGUACGAAAGCGUGGGUAGCAAACAGG
rnacentral:rRNA from 1 species